UACGGGGGGGGCAAGCGUUGUUCGGAAUUACUGGGCGUAAAGGGCUCGUAGGCGGCCAACUAAGUCGGAGGUGAAAUCCCUCAGCUUAACUGGGGCACUGCGUCCGAUACUGGAUGGCUCGAGUUUGGGAGAGGGAUGCGGAAUUCCAGGUGUAGCGGUGAAAUGCGUAGAGAUCCGGAAGAACACCAGUGGCGAAGGCGGCCCGCUGGGCAGUGGCUGACGCUGAAGCGCGACAGCGUGGGGAGCAAACAGG
rnacentral:rRNA from 1 species